rnacentral:rRNA from 1 species
ACGGAGGGUGCAAGCGUUGUUCGGAAUUAUUGGGCGUAAAGCGCGUGUAGGCGGUCUGUUAAGUCUGAUGUGAAAGCCCCGGGCUCAACCCGGGAAGUGCAUUGGAUACUGGCAGACUUGAGUACGGGAGAGGGAAGUGGAAUUCCGAGUGUAGGGGUGAAAUCCGUAGAUAUUCGGAGGAACACCGGUGGCGAAGGCGGCUUCCUGGACCGAUACUGACGCUGAGACGCGAAAGCGUGGGGAGCAAACAG